AACGAACGCUGGCGGCAUGCCUAACACAUGCCAGUCGAACGAGACCUUCGGGUCUAGUGGCGCACGGGUGCGUAACGCGUGGGAACCUGCCCUUAGGUUCGGAAUAACUCCCCGAAAGGGGUGCUAAUACCGGAUAAUGUCUUCGGACCAAAGAUUUAUCGCCUUUGGAUGGGCCCGCGUUGGAUUAGCUAGUUGGUAGGGUAAAAGCCUACCAAGGCGACGAUCCAUAGCUGGUCUGAGAGGAUGAUCAGCCACACUGGGACUGAGACACGGCCCAGACUCCUACGGGAGGCAGCAGUGGGGAAUAUUGGACAAUGGGCGAAAGCCUGAUCCAGCAAUGCCGCGUGAGUGAUGAAGGCCUUAGGGUUGUAAAGCUCUUUCACCCGGGAUGAUAAUGACAGUACCGGGAGAAUAAGCUCCGGCUAACUCCGUG
rnacentral:rRNA from 1 species